GCCGGAAUCGCUAGUAAUCGUAGAUCAGCCAUGCUACGGUGAAUACGUUCCCGGGUCUUGUACUCACCGCCCGUCACACCAUGGGAGUUGAUUUCACUCGAAGCCGGAAUACUAAACUAGUUACCGUCCACAGUGGAAUCAGCGACUGGGGUGAAGUCGUAACAAGGUAACCGUAGGAGAACCUGCGGUUGGAUCACCUCCUUUCUAG
rnacentral:rRNA from 2 species